GAAGUAUUGUCGAUAGGCAGUGUGGAAAACCCUGGAGUGAUUAUGCUCACAUUAGUAGCCAAUAGUCUAAAAAAGGUACUUUUGAAAAAUACGUAAAAAGUAUUUGGAGAUUUUAAACAUCUCUAAGAAGAAUAAUACCUAUAGACGGCCGUAUUGCCCUUGGUUUCUGCGAUAAAAAGCAGAGUGAAUCGGUCUCUCAGUAAAAACACAAUGAUGUUUUACUAGGAGUACAACUAUACCAUACAAUAAGAUUCUCCAUAUAGGAGCUAUGUCUCUUCCGCGCAUCAAAGUAGCGUGGGGCAAUAAAGCCCAAGAGGAAUCCCCUCUAGG
rnacentral:rRNA from 1 species